GGCCAUUGAUAAAUUUAGUCGCUUCACUAACCAUCCGUGUAUAUAUGUCCUCUUCUAUUCAUUAUUACAAUUUGCAAGAUCUGCAGAUAGGUGAGCAAAAAGCUAAGACAUUAAGCUCUUUAAAGCUGAAGAAAAUUGAUGUGGAAAUUCUUGUGAAUCUUGUUGGUGACAAGGAAAGAUAUUUAAAAUCUCACAUGGUGCUAAAAUCUUGGGAUCUUAGAGAAUUUUCUUUUCCGUACACCCUUCAUCCAAAGUUGGAUAUCUCUAUCUCACCAUGACUCCGGAUUGAAUAAGAUUGAUGGUGUUGAAAUUUUAUCGUUCAUAUCUAGAUCGGGUUAUUCUCGACAUUGUUUGAGAGGUAUACGGCGUGAAGUGGAUCAUUCGCUUGGCAGCAACAAGAUACAGAUUGAAAAUGCAAGCCGUACUGGAUAAAAUUGUAGAAGCAAUAGUUGAGCCAGUGAUCCAGUUAGUGGUGGUCCAUGUUGGUUUUGUUUUUCAGCACAAGAAGCAGCUGAAGAACCUGGAAAUUGAAAUUAAAAACCUUGAAGAGCAGAGAAAAAAAAUCAAAAAAGAAGUUGAUGAAGCCAUUACUCGUGGUGAAGUAGUUGAUGAACCUGCUUCAAUCUGGCUAGCAGAGGUGGAAAAAAGAGUUCAGAAAAUUCAGGAUGACAAUACUAUUAACGAAAACAGGCAGUGCUUUAAACUCUCGUGUCCAGAUUACAUCUCGCGCUACCGAAUGAGCAAGGAAGCUGAACACAAGAUUGAAGAAGUAAAAAAUCUCACUAAGAGUGGCAAUUUUAGCCCUGUUGUACAUAGUAAGAAAAAUGAAAAAGAAAAACAGAAA